GACGAACGCUGGCGGCGUGCUUAACACAUGCAAGUCGAACGGAAAGGCCCGGCUUUUGGGCGGUGCUCGAGUUGCGAACGGGUGAGUAACACGUGAGUAACCUGCCCCUGACUUUGGGAUAACUUCAGGAAACUGGGGCUAAUACCGGAUAGGAGCUCCUGCUGCAUGGUGGGGGUUGGAAAGUUUCGGCGGUUGGGGAUGGACUAGCGGCUUAUCAGCUUGAUGGGGGGGUAGUGGAUUACCAUGGCUUGGACGGGUAGCCGGCCUGAGAGGAUCACCGGCCACAUUGGGACUGAGAUGCGGCCCAGCCUCCAACGGGACGCAAGGGUGGAGAAUGUUGCACAAGAGGCGGAGGGAUGAUCCAGCCCCGCCGCGUGCGGGAAGACGGGAUUCGGGUUGUAUACCACUGUCGCCUGUGACGAGGCGUGAGUGACGGUACUGGGUAAAGAAGCACCGGCUAACUACGUG
rnacentral:rRNA from 1 species